rnacentral:rRNA from 1 species
GAACGAUGAAGCCCAGCUUGCUGGGUGGAUUAGUGGCGAACGGGUGAGUAACACGUGAGCAACCUGCCCCGAACUUCGGGAUAACAGCUGGAAACAGCUGCUAAUACCGAAUAUGCACUUGAACCGCAGGGUUACUUGUGGGAAAGAUUUUUCGGUUCGGGAGGGGCUCGCGGCCUAUCAGCUUGUUGGUGAGGUAAUGGCUCACCAAGGCGUCGACGGGUAGCCGGCCUGAGAGGGUGACCGGCCACACUGGGACUGAGACACGGCCCAGACUCCUACGGGAGGCAGCAGUGGGGAAUAUUGCACAAUGGGCGCAAGCCUGAUGCAGCAACGCCGCGUGAGGGAUGACGGCCUUCGGGUUGUAAACCUCUUUUAGUUGGGAAGAAGCCUUCGGGUGACGGUACCUUCAGAAAAAGCACCGGCUAACUACGUGCCAGCAGCCGCGGUAAUACGUAGGGUGCAAGCGUUAUCCGGAAUUAUUGGGCGUAAAGAGCUCGUAGGCGGUUUGUCGCGUCUGCUGUGAAAACUGGAGGCUCAACCUCCAGCCUGCAGUGGGUACGGGCAGACUUGAGUGCGGUAGGGGAGAUUGGAAUUCCUGGUGUAGCGGUGGAAUGCGCAGAUAUCAGGAGGAACACCGAUGGCGAAGGCAGAUCUCUGGGCCGUAACUGACGCUGAGGAGCGAAAGAGUGGGGAGCAAACAGGCUUAGAUACCCUGGUAGUCCACUCCGUAAACGUUGGGAACUAGUUGUGGGGGCCUUUCUACGGUCUCCGUGACGCAGCUAACGCAUUAAGUUCCCCGCCUGGGGAGUACAGCCGCAAGGCUAAAACUCCAAGGAAUUGACGGGGACCCGCACAAGCGGCGGAGCAUGCGGAUUAAUUCGAUGCAACGCGAAGAACCUUACCAAGGCUUGACAUAUACCCGGAAACGGCUGGAAACAG